UUGCGCCCGAGGCUCGUCCGAGGGCAUUCCUGCCUGAGCGUCAU
rnacentral:rRNA from 1 species